CUGGGGGUGAUGCCCUGAUUGCAGCUACUUCUAGCAGCAGUCUAUCUGCAUACAGCUUUAUUGUUCCACCUCUUUAGGGGCUGGCAGCAAGGAGGUGAUUGUGCCAAGAUCCACAUUGACUGAGGAUGUCAGAGUUAGGGAUGUUGCUGAUAGACAGGGUAUUCAACUGAUAGAGUUUAAGGGGAAAUGUUGUAUUUCCAGUAUAUAAAGUGGUCUAAACCUUUGCUCUGAAGAAAUGGGGCUCUGGGGGCUAUUAAACUUUAGUUGAGUUCAUGCACUGUUCUCCAAAGCUAGUGGCUGAACACAGCUGGGGGCUGUAAGUCAGCCCCACCCAUCCAGAGCAGUGGGUCACAUAAGGGCCCUUUGUGACCCAUCCCUGUGCCACCCGGGUAUGACAAACGCUGCUGCAGUGGCCCCACAGUGUCUGUCGGGACAGUGAUGGAACAGGGCAGGAGCACUUGGGUCUGGCUAGGAAAGCGGCCCAAGAUGUUUUCCACUGGCACCCCUCAUCCCACAGGAUGGAGGAGAGACCCCCCAGGUGCCCCAGGGUGGCCUGGGCAGAGAGUGUGGCUCCCCAGAGUCCUACAAGGUGUGCAAAUUGAAGGUGCUAUGGUUCGGUAAGUCAUAAGGCUUUUUAAUCAUCUCCUGAUUGUUCUGGUAAGUCACUUGAUUUAAUUUUAAUACUUUUACAUAAGUAUACUUUCAUAUAUACUUUCAGUAAGUAAUUAGGAUUGACAAAAAGAAAUGCUAUGGUGUGUGAUGAAGAUAUUGGAGGGAACAGAAAUAGUUAUGCGCAGCUUGUUCUCAGUCCUAGUCAUUGUUAAAUAUCUUGAUGCUGUUGAGAGUAGCUGUGGUAAACAGCAAUAUUUCACUGUAACUGAUGAUCAUUCGUAGUUAUGACAAAGUAUCAGAUCAUCAUGUAAUCCAAAUGGUGUAGCCACUGCUGCCUCUAUGAUGAGUGUAGGAAACAGCAACCAAUGUGUGUACUGAAGUUGGAGUGGUUAUAUCCAGGAACCUUAAGAUUUUGUUGAGAGUGUAUUGUAUUAAGAAGACCUUGGUACUGCAAUGCCUUCCUUUCUAGUUGUGUUGGAAUGGGUAUUGUGCAGUGACAGAACUGUUCUCAAGUGACAAGGAAAGGUAUUAUGUUCAUAUAGGAUGGGAUAUUAGCAGAGUCUGUGGGUUUCUGGUUUCCGAAGAAAGUUUUGUGUUUAUCAGAAACUUAUUGUAUACUAUGCAUGACAUUCAGCCUUUGCUUUAAUGUGACAGCUGAGUUCAGUUGAAGUUGUGCUAAGAGUAAAAAACAACUCAAGACUACAGUGCAGUCUGUACAGUGCAGUACAGUUCAUUUUGCAGGUAAACAUUAUAGCUCUGCCUCACACAAUCUGCCUAACGUGAUAAAAUGUGCAAAUGAAAUGUCUCAGAUGUUGAUACUAUACUUGGAUUAAAUGAAGAGAAUUAAGCUGGUUAAGUCUGUACAAUUAAGAGAUUGCUUUUGAUGGUCAGCUGCUCUACUUCAGCUUCUUCCAUUCUUGCUAACAAUUUCACAUGCAUUGGUUGCAAUGGCUUUUCCAGGAGUCAAUGUGAAAUUAAUUUAAACAGCAAAUAGUUAAUUGGCAUGUUG
rnacentral:lncRNA from 1 species